rnacentral:rRNA from 1 species
CUCAAGAUGAGAUUUCCCAUAGCGUAAGCUAGUAAGACUCCUGGAAGAACACCAGGUUGAUAGGUCAGAGAUGUAAGCAUGGCAACAUGUUAAGUUGACUGAUACUAAUAAGUCGAGGGCUUGACCAAAA